rnacentral:rRNA from 1 species
CACGUAGGGUGCGAGCGUUGUCCGGAAUUAUUGGGCGUAAAGAGCGUGUAGGCGGCCCGGUAAGUCCGCUGUGAAAGUCGGGGGCUCAACCCUCGAAUGCCGGUGGAUACUGUCGGGCUAGAGUGCGGAAGAGGCGAGUGGAAUUCCUGGUGUAGCGGUGAAAUGCGCAGAUAUCAGGAGGAACACCGGUGGCGAAGGCGGCAUCCUGGACCGGCAUUGACGCUGAGGCGCGAAAGCCAGGGGAGCAAACGGG